GAGGGGGAGGCCUAGCCAACGAGAACUGCUAACUCUCGCACCUGAGUAUAAAACCUCAGCCCCCUUA
rnacentral:tRNA from 1 species